GAGGGGAUAGCUCAGUGGUAGGGUGCGUGCUUAGCACAUACGAGGUUCUGGGUUCAAUCCCCAGUACCUCCA
rnacentral:tRNA from 1 species